GGCGCCGCCUGGUGCUGAACCACACGCGCGGCGUGUACCACUUCUCCAUCCAGGGCCGCACCGUGUGCCAGGGCCCCUUGCAUCUGGUCUACGUGCGCCUGGCGCUCAGCUCCGACGCCUACGGAAGGCGCUUCUUCCACCUGGUCCUCGGCGGCCACAGGUUGGAGCCCCUGGUGCUGGUGCAGCUGUCGGAGCACUACGAGGUGGGUCCCGCCCAGACACGCGCCCUCCUCAGGACACGAUGACACCGAUCACUGUUUAAGGUCUUUGGGUGGGGCCGUUUCCGCACGCAGAGGGUAAAUACAACACGGUCUUCGGUGCUGGGGGCCAUGGAGAGGGCGCCGGGGCUUCGGGCAGGACUGGGGAUGCGGCCUGGUAGGGGAAGGAGACGCCUGGACGGCGACUCGGGUCUGUCCUGUCCCGGCCCCAGUUGAGCACCACCUGCUCCCACAGCAAAUGGAGUACUUGGGCCGUUACAUCGCCCGGAAACUCAACAUCAACUACUUCGACUACCUGGCCACCUCCUAUCGGCACGUGGUUCGCCACUGGCCACCCCCUGGCGCUGGCACUGUGAUGGGCAAGAGCCCCAUGGGUCACAAGCCCAGUUCCUCUCAGUCCAGCCUGGAGGUGUGACUCUGAGGGCCUCCCCCACCUCGGGACUGUGUUCUCGGUAACCUCCCAGCCCCACUCUGGGGCAGAUCAAAUGUGAGUCCCACUCACUGGCCUUCCUUUCAAUAAAGCUGCCUCAGCUUCCACACGGAUCAUUUUAGGGGGCAGGGGAGGCCCUCUGGUGCCUAGGUCUUCCACUGUUGCGCACUCCUAGGACCUCAGAGAGCCUGUGCCUUCCAGCUGACUGAAGCAAACCCCACAGCUUGUGUUCGAAGACAGGAACAGCUGAGAGCAAGGGAUGGCAUAUAGCCAGGCCUCUGAGGUUCGGCCCAUCACUAGAGAGGCUGGGAACUCCGUCCCCUCUUAGCCAGCAGCACUUAACUUGUCCUACCUGACCUCAGAGGUGCUGACCAAUGCAUGGAAUCCAGGAGUCAGAAUCUGGCCCAUUCUGGACCCGGUGCCUGCUGCUACUCCAACCAGCAAUGGGGUGGGCUGCGGCCAGAGAACAAGCCCUGUGCCUGGGGUGCAUGCUUGCCCCAGUACCCACAAAGCUGCUGCCGCUUGCCUCCAAGGGGGUGGGCACGAGAGUCCCGGGCCAGGGUGCAGGGCCUCCUAGGAGGGAGGAUGUGCAGUGCCCUGACACCCGCUCGCCAUGCCCGCUGGAACCCCAGGCCCGCGCCCCUGACACCCACUCGCCGUGCCCAUUGGAACCCCAGGCCUGCGCCCCUGACACCCACUUGCUGUGCCCGCUGGAACCCCAGGCCCACACUCUCCUGUCCAGUGGAUCCCCCAGCUAUCACUGCAGCACCUGAGGCCUCCUGAGUGCUGGGGGCUGUUGUGGAAGCCGAGAAGGCUGUGGGCCAUGGGGUCCCAGGGAAAGCAGCACCUGGCUCUCCGGAUCUUCAGGCAUUAUCAGCUGAACGUCCCUGCAACCAGGAGCAGCUACAUAAUUUGCAGGGUUCCAUGCCAAAUGAAAAUUUGGAGCCCAUUGUUAGGAAGUUAAUAAGUGGGGUGCAGUGGUGUAUACCUGUAGUCUCGGCUGCUCAGGAGGCUGAGGUGGGAGGACAGCUUAAACCCAGGAGUUCAAGGCUAGCCUGGACAACAUAGUGAGACCCCCAGUCUCUAAUAAAAUAAACAAUAAAAAUAAAAAUAAA
rnacentral:sRNA from 1 species